UACGUAGGGGGCAAGCGUUGUCCGGAUUUAUUGGGCGUAAAGAGCGUGUAGGCGGCUUUACAGGUCCGUUGUGAAAACUCGAGGCUCAGCCUCGAGACGCCGGUGGAAACCGUAAAGCUAGAGUCCGGAAGAGGAGAGUGGAAUUCCUGGUGUAGCGGUGAAAUGCGCAGAUAUCAGGAAGAACACCCGUGGCGAAGGCGGCUCUCUGGGACGGUACUGACGCUGAGACGCGAAAGCGUGGGGAGCGAACAGG
rnacentral:rRNA from 1 species